rnacentral:miRNA from 1 species
CCUCAUCCGCAGCGUCCUGGCC